rnacentral:rRNA from 1 species
AGAGUUUGAUCMUGGCUCAGAACGAACGUUAGCGGCGCGCCUAACACAUGCAAGUCGCACGAGAAAGGGCUUCGGCCCCGGUACAGUGGCGCACGGGUGAGUAACACGUAGGUAAUCUGCCCUUGGGUGGUGGAUAACCCUCCGAAAGGAGGGCUAAUACAGCAUGAGACCACGGYAUCUCCGGAUGCCGCGGCCAAAGUAGGCCUCUCUACAGAAGCUUACGCCAGAGGAUGAACCUGCGGCCCAUCAGCUAGUUGGUAAGGUAACGGCUUACCAAGGCAAAGACGGGUAGCUGGUCUGAGAGGAUGAACAGCCACACUGGAACUGAGACACGGUCCAGACUCCUACGGGAGGCAGCAGUGGGGAAUCUUGCACAAUGGGCGAAAGCCUGAUGCAGCGACGCCGCGUGAGCGAUGAAGGCCUUCGGGUUGUAAAGCUCUGUGGGGAGGGACGAAUAUGGCAUGGCUAAUAUCCAUGUCGAUGACGGUACCUCCUUAGCAAGCACCGGCUAACUCUGUGCCAGCAGCCGCGGUAAGACAGAGGGUGCAAACGUUGUUCGGAAUCACUGGGCGUAAAGCGCGUGUAGGCGGCUAUGUAAGUCGGACGUGAAAUCCCACGGCUCAACCGUGGAAGUGCGCUCGAAACUGUGUAGCUUGAGUCCUGGAGAGGAAGACGGAAUACUUGGUGUAGAGGUGAAAUUCGUAGAUAUCAGGUAGAACACCAGUGGCGAAGGCGGUCUUCUGGACAGUGACUGRCGCUGAGACGCGAAAGCGUGGGGAGCAAACAGGAUUAGAUACCCUGGUAGUCC